rnacentral:rRNA from 1 species
UUCUGGGAGGAUUGACAGAUUGAGAGCUCUUUCUUGAUUCGGUGGAUGGUGGUGCAUGUCCGUUCUUAGUUGGUGGAGCGAUUUGUCUGGCUAAUUCCGAUAACGAACGAGACUCUAGUCUAUUAAAUAGGUGCGUGGUUCUCUGCACCUUGCACCCUUCUCAUAGGGACAAGCGGCUCCUAGCCACACGAAACAGCAAUAACAGGUCUGUGAUGCCCUUAGAU